UAAGUUCUCAAAGAACAUCAUCAACUUUAAAUUGAGAACACACAAAUGAAUUUCCACAAACCAAAACAUCUCAUUGAAAUUGCAAAGCGAUCAUAACAAACAAAAUGGCUUCCUCUUCCAAGUUCUCCCUCUACUUCAUUGCUUCACUUCUUCUAUUGAGUAAAGAUCCUCAAAUUAAUACUCUUCAAUUUUGUUCUUUUUUUUUUCGAGGAAAAAAUUUUCUUGCUAAUUUUUUCGUUGUGAAUAUAGGUCUGGCAAUGACUAAGGCGGUCACAGCCUUGCCACCGCCGCCGGAGUGCAAAAGGGACAUCGAUUGCGUGCCAUAUUGUGAGAGCAUCCGUAAAGGACUCGCACUCUGCGACGAGAGAACUGGACACUGCAUUUGUUUGGACAGAGUCGAUGCUCGUGGUGAUGUGCACCCUGUUGCUCAUUAGAAAACGAUCGAUGAUGAGGUUGAAGAGUGGAGAGUCCAGUUAUUGUAGUAACAAUAUCUUUUACUAGCUUGGUUAAGUUGUUGUUUCGAUUUUUGGGUCGAAUCGGUUUGUCCCAAUUCGACAAACUUGAUGAAUGAAUAAAAGAAGGUUUUUAAAUAAUUAACCAUC
rnacentral:lncRNA from 1 species